GCCUUCGUGGUGUAGCGAUCAGUACACUCAGCGCGUACUCGAGAGGUCCAGGGUUCGAUUCCCGGCGAGGGCA
rnacentral:tRNA from 1 species